CUGCGUGGCUCCGUAGGUAGGGAGGAGCUGCUCAGAAAUAACUUCAAGAGCUCCUAGGUUAACUCCACUAUUUUCCUUUGUUUUUAAGGCAUCAGUUGAGCAAGGAGGAAAAAAUAAAUCAUAGACACCAAGAAGGCCUGGAACUAAAGUUCAUCAAAGCCAAGACAGCAGGAGAUUUUCUGGGGUGCAUUCCUGACUCUACUUGAUGCUUGUGCAUGACAAGGUUAGAGACGGUGUGCCGCUGGAAUCUGUACGUUCCCGUUCUCAGGAAAGACGGGAUCACAGACGGCUGGACAAAUGUGGAAGACCAGAGAGCUGAGCAUCUGCAUCAAGGUGGCCGUCAGCAUGGAUGGAGCAGGUUCAGGAUGGCUGUAGGACAAACGACUGCUGUAAAACCGCCAGGAGUGUUUUCCUGUACCCAGAAUGAAAUCCAGAUCUUGGAAUUAUUGGUAAUGAAAGGAGUUACUGUUGGGUGA
rnacentral:lncRNA from 1 species